rnacentral:misc_RNA from 1 species
ACAAAUCAAGUGCGUGUGUCUUGUGCUGACCAUGGUAAAAUAUGGUCGGUGUGGCACACACAUAUAUGUGCUCCAGGCAUUUGUCUUGGUUGCAUCAUUUAUAUAUAUAUAUAUUCAUUAUUGUAUAGUUGUAUUUUCAUGUUAAUAUAAAAUAUCACAA